UCGCACAUCGGCGGAAAUC
rnacentral:misc_RNA from 1 species